rnacentral:rRNA from 1 species
AUAAAUAGGCCAAAUGCACUAAAGGCACCAAAUCCUAUCUGAUCUUGGAAGCUAAGCAGAGUUAGCUCUGCUUAGUACUUGGAUGGGAGUUCCUGGUGUGGAAGGCUAUAUUUC